GGUUUAGAGGGAUCAAACGAGACUAAAAAUGGAGUUAAAAUAGAUUUAAAUUCAAAACCGAAAGAUAAUCCGAUCUAAUACGCAAGUUGGUGGUCCACCAUGGACCAUUUGGUCCAUAAGAAAGUUAUAAGCCAUGAAAUGCCACAAUAAUUUUCACAUGGCUCAGCUCUGGCGGGAUGUAUGGAAUUCAAAUCAAAAUAGGACAUCUGAGGGGUUUGUGAAACAAACAGUUUGGAUUCAAAUGGGCUUAAGAGGAGACUUUGGGUGAGCUUUGGCACGCGAGCGUGAGAUAGAACUUGGACUUGGCAUGUACACGAAAGCUAAUCUUGAUGGUGCGAGAAUACAGAAGAAAUUCAAAUUCAGCAAUAGGAGGCGGCAUACACGGAUUUUUUAAAUUUGACUUCGUUUGGGUCGCUAACUGCAACGAAGAGAGAGAUUUUUAAAAUUUUAAAAUAAAGCAACCACUUCUAUAUUUUCUAUUUAACCAACUGCCUAUCCAUCCAUCCAUACUUUUCAAAUUAAAUCCUAACCGUUCAUCUAUCUUCUCUUUUUAGUCCCACAUUGAAAAAAUAUAAAAUCCUCCUCCCUGCCUACAUCUAUAAAUAAAGCCUAAUACCUCCAUUCAUAGUAUCUCUCUCCACUCUAUAAUUUUUGUAGGGGGUCUGUGUGACAGGCAGACAUACCCACUUUUAAAAUUUUUUAGCCACCUUGUUCUCACUUUCUUCCACCCUUCCAACACACGAGAAGGAGAGUCAGCCAG
rnacentral:lncRNA from 1 species